CAUUCGCCACUCAACAAGUAUGUUUUGAGCAUCUCUUUAGAGUCAGAUACUUGAGAUGUAACAGUGACCAACACAGACACGGCCCCUGUGCUUGGAGUGUUUAUAUAUAAUAUGAGAGACAGACAAGUAACUCAAAUAUAGUACAACAUAACUAGUGCUAUUCAGGGUGUGCACCAUACACUAGCAGGGCACACAUCAGGGGCACAUAAACUGGACAUGGGGAAAGGAGUAAAGCAGGGAAAGCUCUGUGACAUCAUAGGGGUAGGGGUGGGGGGUCCAGGAUUCCUGAGAACAGGAACAGCUUAUGUACAGUUCCUGAAACAAGAGUACUACUGUGCUCCUCAGUACCACUGCUGGAAUGUGGAGCAUCAAAGCGCAGUUGAGGCAAGAGAGCACAUCAACCUGUGGGUUGAAGCCAGGUGUCAGCUAUGUGUUCUAGCAAAGGGCCAGAUGGUAAACAUUGUAGGCUCCAUGGUUCACGGGGUUCGAUGCAUCUACUCAGCUCUCCCCUUGUGGCAGAAAAGCAGCAUAGGCAGAUUUGGAGCCAAACAGAGGAAACUAAGGAAACCUUGUCUGCUGAGAUUGGCUUCCCUAGAGAAAGGCACCCAAGAAGACCUCAGGGGCCCUUUCGCAGUUCAUGCCUCCAGCACUUCACACAUGCUUACAAGGAAACCAGGAAGCCAGCGUGCAACAGCAUGCAUAGGCGUCAGUGCCUAGCGCUGAGGGGC
rnacentral:lncRNA from 1 species